rnacentral:snoRNA from 1 species
AUGCAUGGUAACUGAGGCUACAGCUUGAAGCAGUAGUUGUGGUUUCUCCAACAACAUGCAAGAUGAAUCUGGAGAGGUUUUUGACAACCUUGGUCUUGUAUUGCCUUGCUUGUCACUCUACUGUCCUACAAGC